CCUACGGGCGGCAGCAGUGAGGAAUAUUGGUCAAUGGUCGAGAGUCUGAACCAGCCAAGUCGCGUGAAGGAUGACUGCCCUGUGUAUUGUAAACUUCUUUUAUAUGGGAAUAAAAUGUUCCACGUGUGCGCUUUUGUAUGUACCUUAUGAAUAAGGAUCGGCUAACUCCGUGCCAGCAGCCGCGGUAAUCCGGAGGAUCCGAGCGUUAUCCGGAUUUAUUGGGUUUAAAGGGUGCGUAGGUGGAUUGUUAAGUCAGUGGUGAAAGUUUGCGGCUCAACCGUAAACUUGCAGGUGAAACUGGCAGUCUGGAGUACAGGAGAGGUGGGCGGAAUUCGUGGUGUAGCGGUGAAAUGCUUAGAUAUCGCGAAGAACUCCGAUUGCGAAGGCAG
rnacentral:rRNA from 1 species